rnacentral:piRNA from 1 species
UCUUGUGAUUAAAGUUGCUGGGGUCAAGU